rnacentral:rRNA from 1 species
GACGGAAGGUGCAAGCGUUGCUCGGAAUCACUGGGCGUAAAGGGUGCGUAGGCGGCCGUGUAAGUCUGGCGUGAAAGCCCCGGGCUCAGCCCGGGAAGUGCGCUCGAAACUGCACGGCUCGAGUGCCGGAGGGGAGAGUGGAAUUCCUGGUGUAGCGGUGAAAUGCGUAGAUAUCAGGAGGAAUACCGGUGGCGAAAGCGACUCUCUGGACGGUAACUGACGCUGAGGCACGAAAGCGUGGGGAGCAAACAGG